AUGGCCUUCCAGAGAUGACACGUCCAGCUCUGUGUCUCCAUAGAGGUAGUAUUCAAGCAGGGCCUGGUAGAUGAAUGAGUACUGCAUCUGGGUGAAGGAGCUCUGGUUCACCAUAAAGAUGGUGCAAUUACAGCCUGGUAAAAACAUAUGUCAAAGAGGGCAUUACAGGAAAAUCAGAGCAGAGACUUGGCUGGAGAAGAAACACCCUGGAGCUGGUAGGAAUGCAUUAUUUUGUUCACUGACACUUCGGCAGGGGAGCUGAGACACAUUUAAGAAAUAAA